UGGCUGUGGUACCGGAUCGUACCGUAGCUGUGGUGCCGGGUGGUAUCGUGGAGGAACAGGCUCCUGCCGGGGUGGCUCGGGAUCAGCCUGCUGUAGCGGGGGCUCAACCUGCGCUAGCGGAGGAGGUCCCGGUAACUCCCUUCUCUCCUCUUGCCUUCGCUGGGCAGCUGCGAGAGCCUCCACCAUCUAGAAUAGUCUAUCUAAAUCCUCCC
rnacentral:lncRNA from 1 species